UACAGAGGGUGCGAGCGUUAAUCGGAAUUACUGGGCGUAAAGGGUGCGUAGGUGGUUUUGUAAGUUAGGUGUGAAAUCCCCGGGCUCAACCUGGGAAUGGCAUUUGGGACUGCAAGGCUGGAGUGUGGCAGAGGAGACUGGAAUUCCUGGUGUAGCAGUGAAAUGCGUAGAUAUCAGGAGGAAUACCGAUGGCGAAGGCAGUGUCCUGGGGAGUGUCUGACGCUCAGGCGCGAAAGCUAGGGGAGCGAACAGG
rnacentral:rRNA from 1 species